rnacentral:rRNA from 1 species
AACGAACGCUGGCGGCGCGUCUUAAGCAUGCAAGUCGAACGGCAAGAUUGGUGCUUGCACCGAUCCUAGAGUGGCGGACUGGUGAGUAACGCGUGGGUGACGUACCCUAAGGAUGGGGAUAGCUGGUAGAAAUAUCAGAUAAUACCGAAUAUCCUUAUUGUUGUUAGAGGACAGUAAGGAAAGGAGCUUUGGCUUCGCCUAAGGAUCGGCCCGCGUACUAUUAGCUAGUUGGUGAGGUAACGGCUCACCAAGGCGACGAUAGUUAUCCGGCCUAAGAGGGUGAACGGACACAUUGGGACUGAGAUACGGCCCAGACUCCUACGGGAGGCAGCAGCUAAGAAUAUUCCGCAAUGAGGAAACUCUGACGGAGCGACGCCGCGUGGAUGAUGAAGGCCGGAAGGUUGUAAAAUCCUUUUAAGCAAGAAGGAUAAACUUUACAGGGAAUGGUAGAGUGGUGACGGUAUUGCUUGAAUAAGCAACGGCUAAUUACGUGCCAGCCGCCGCAGUAACAC